CUGGUGUUCUGACUCUUGUUCCACUCACUGCAUGAAAUGAAGCUGGCGGAAUAUUGCUACAAAAGAAUGAUCGUGGCAGGAGGCGGGGUAGAGCAAUGUCAGGUCACGGUGCGUCUUGCACCGAAAUAUUAAGGCAGUUGUAAUGAUCUUUGUCUCACAGAAAUGAACAGAGUGAUGAAGGAGGCUCAGAGAAAGGCAGCUGAGAAGAGCAACAAGGUAGAAAGGCUGACUUAAAGUAGAGAAAUAAAAAUUCAUCCAGCACCUCCCAAGGUCGGACAUUGGUCAAGAAACGCCCAAAUAGUUCAGGUCGUUUAACUUUGCUCAAAUUCCUCAAGGCAGGUAUCACGACUCCUCCUGCUUUAGAGGUGAGAAUGCCAAGGCUCCCGAGGGCUGAGUAAGGAGCCCUGGUUUGUUUGAGUGCAGGUAACACAACAGGUGUUAAAGCCCAAUCUUCAGGGUCUUAAUCCAACAGAAGUUAACUUUCGCUUAGAAAAAGUUCAGCACCAGAGUUCCUGGUGGAUAAGCGACUUCCCACAAGGUCAUUCCUGGGCCUUCUCUGUGUCUCCCCACCCUGUCCCCCUCUGAGGGUUUCAAGUCCUCGGAAGGUUCUAGAUCCACCCUGCAUGGAGCGCAGGGCCCCACUGCUUGUUUCCAUUGCUGAGCCCAACAGGAAAGGCUGGGAUCGGAGGUCGCCUUGCACCCAGGAUGGAAGGGAAGUGCGUUUGGUGAACACAUAGUGCCCAGGCCACCUACCCAAAGCCGCACAGCUCCAGCAGCAGCCUACAGUCCGACCCGGGCCAAGAAGCGAAGUCCAACCUCAUGCUUUCUCUGACUUGAGUUUUCUGAACCUCAGAGUCCUCUCCUAUAGAAUGGAGAACACGUCUCCUUCACAGGAUUACUAGGAGAAUGAGCAGAGAAAAUGCCUGUGGAGGAGACUUCUGGACACUUAGUUAUGGACAGGGCACCAGGAGAAAGGGUGGUGCUGGAGUCUCUCCUUAGCUCUCAGAGAUCAUCACAAAGAGGGUGCCUCCUGCUUCCGGCCCAUGGCAGAGUGUGUCCGAGAGGCCGCCUCUCACCUCCCUCCCUGGCCUCGCACACGCAGUCGGGACUGGAUUUCUGAUGGCAAUUCAGUGACGCACAAUCGAAAACCAGCAGGGCGGAACAGGAGAUGGGAGCAAACUAAGCUACCGUUUCACUAACUUCACAGAGGAGCCUGACACAGAAAAAUGUAUACAUUGUUUGCCUUAAAGUGAACAAUAGGGAAUAGCUAUCGUAUCUUCAAAGCAGCUUUCCAAGAUCAAAUCCGUCGCAUCCGGAAUGCGUUUCUUUGACCUUGGAACCUCCAGGAGUGGCCAGGCUCCCCCACAGAUCACACGCAGCGUUGCCUAGAAGCCGGUAGCUCUCCCGUAGGACGCUGGGAAGCAGCCAGCUGUUCAUGUGGGAGUGUCGGCGUGCGUUCCUUUGUCAACGUCCUGCAAGAAAGAAAAGGCAAGAACGUCAGCGAUGGCUCCACUGACUGAUUAAGGCAAAGGAAGUCGCCACUAUGCCCUGGAUCUGUUCCUGAAGGAUUACAGCAUGAAGAAAAAUAAUGUGGGUAGCCGGGCUUCAUCUUAGCAACACGAGCACCUCAUUUUGGUUUUCAGUUGGUCUUUUAAUGAACAAAUGUGUUGGAAUGUUUGGGUCUCUGGUUUUUAUGCCGAUUUCUACCAUCCUGCCCUGGGGAUGAGGUGGAGCUGGGAUUAACAAAAAAUUCCUAUUCUCCAGCCAGGCGCAGUGGCUCACGCCUAUAAUCCCAGCACUUUGGGAGGCCAAGGCGGGUGGAUCACCUGAGGUCGGGAGUUUGAGACCAGCCUGGCCAACACGGUGAAACCGAUCCCUACUAAAAAUACAACAAAAAGUUAGCGGGGUGUAGUGGCAGGUGCCUGUAAUUUCAGCUACUUUGGAGCUGAGGCAAGAGAAUCACUUGAACCCGGGAGGGGGAGGUUGCAGUGAGCCGAGACCACGCCAUUGCACUGGUCAAUAAGAACGAAACUCUGUCUCAAAAAAAAAAAAAAUCCUAUUCUCCAUGGGACCCAAAUCCCUUUUUACCUCCACCUCCUGGAUAUGCAGCAAUUAAGUGAUUCACGGAGGUGCAGUGAGGCGAAGGUUCCAUGUAGCCACAGGUUGGAAGAAACAAGUACUGUUGGCAUCAACUUUGUCAGCUUGAAGCAGGCCUUCUAGAACCCAUAAUGCCAGGACAAGCUUUCUAGAUGGCAGAAGAGCCUAGCCUAUUUGGUGUGAAUGAAAGACACUCAGGUGAUACCUUCUAUCUCUUCAAGGUAGGUGCUUAGCUGAAAUAGUGCAAUGAAGAAAGAGCACUGAGCUGGAAGCCAUAAGGCCUGGCCCCAACACUGAUAACCAUGUGCGCUUUAACAAAUCAUUUCUCUCUGAAACUCAGACAUAAGGCCUGGCUCCAACACUAAUAACCAUGCACGCUUGAACAAAUCAUUUCUCUCUGAAACUCAGCUUCCCCAUCUGUGAAGCAGGGAUGGUGCUACUUUUCCAGGUGUGAUAGAUUAGAUUAUUGAUCCCAAUUCUUCCAACCCCUUAGAAAGGGUUGUACAUCCACCCUUGCCAUGUGACUUGCAGAGUCCUCCCCACAACCUCAGAUUCUGUAUCCCCACUAUUGAUAUUAGCCACGGCCGUGGGACUUGCCUUGCUAGUGGGAUGAGGGCAGAAGUAUCCAUGCGCCAGCUCUGGGUCCCUGCAUGCUUUUGCUAACUCUCUUGUGUGUGGGUGGGUCCUUCAAGAAAAUAAGAUGACCCAAGCAGCUGUGCUCCUUCAGCCCCAGAAUAACAUACGUGUGACAGACCAGGAUUCAGCCCACAGCCUGGAGCCAAGACACCAUCCGACCCAGAUGAACCUGCGUGGAUCACCUGAGCCACUAGUGACCCAGAGAUCCUGAGAGUGAAAAACAUGCAUGGUCCUAUACACCACUGAGUUUUGGGAUGACUUGUUACUUAGCACUAUUAUGACAAUUGCUGACUAAUAUACCAGGCUCCUGGAAGAUUUGUUGUGAGGUUCUCAUAAAAUGAUGAAUGUGAAAUUGCAUUGUAAGCUGCUUUUAAAAAAGGUACUUAGCUGGAGUGAAAGCUCUACAAAGGCAGAAAUUGUUUUGCUACUGUAACUAGAUGAGUUCCUGGAAUAAAAUAGUAGCUCAAUAAAUACCAUAUUAAUUGAAUUGGAUGGAUGGAUGGAUAUAUAUAUAUAUAUAUAUAUAUAUUUUAACCUUGGAACUUCUAUCAUAGGCAUUUUUCCUUGGGUUGAAACUACUAAUUUCUCUUAAGUACAGAUACCCCCCGAGAAAGCUAAAAUGCUGUAUUGUUUAUCACAAUACUUUUGGUUCAUGAUAAUUACUGCCAGAUACCUGGAGUAAUUAUAGAAAUUGUAGAGAACAAGAGGUGAGGGGUGGGAGAGCUAAGAAAUGGAUUUUCCAGUUUUGCCCAUGGCUACUUUGUGCAGCACCUCUGACAAAAGCUUUGGGAGUUUUCCAGAAACUAGCAUUCUGCGCCCUCCCCAAGCACUUAUUUCUUCCUUCCCCAGGGUGCCGUGUUUGCAUUUCUGCAGCACAACAUGGAGGGUAAAGGGAUUGCAGAGUGAGUCUCCACUUCCACUCGUCUCUGUUGUUGGAGAGGAUUAAAAGAGCAGGAGAGGGGCUGCCUGUGUCCUGGGAAAUUUUCAGGACAGAAGAAGAGGCUGGCCCUGUGCAGUAGGUGCAGAGCAGGCACCCGGCCUCCAGGGCCACCGAUGACUCCAGGGCCUGGCAGGAGCCAGGAUGUGGCUCCUCGUGGAGGGCUAUGCCAGCCGUGUGUCCGACCCAGAGCACAGAACCAUUGCCCCAGCAGGGCUUUUCAGUGGAACCGAGUGUCCCCACACGAGCUUUGUCUCCGGAUGCACACGAGGAGAUUCUGCAGCACAGUGGAUCCGAUUAAGCCAUUACAGCUUUCCAGAGGGAAAAGAAAAUUUAGGACGUGUAGAAACUAAGUCUUUGCCCACAAUCAAGUUUCCAUUCAAAUUAUGAAAAGGAAGUGAUUGAAUGAGAAUGAGAUGACCUUCCCCUUCCCCCACGGAUCUUCCUCCCUCUGGUUCCCUCUGCUGCUGACACGAGCACUGCACCCAGGCGACGGCCCCGGGCGCCCAGGCUGACUCCCGCACUCGGGCGCUGAGCUCAUGGCCGGUUCUGAAGAACUCUGGUUCUGCUCAUGCCCCACAUCAAAACGGCCAAGUCUUCAGAUUUGGGAUUUCCCAAGCCAAAAGCAUUUUCAUAGAAUUGCAUUUCAAUAUUUACAUUAUCUUUAAAGAAAGUCCAGCUAAAAAUAAAAAAUAAGUAAAAAUGUUAAAAAUAAAACAACCCCAGAGAGAAGUGGGGUCUACCUGAAUGCAAUGCAAGAUGAAGUGGACAUCUGGACGCCCCUCCUCCAGGGCUUCGCAUGCUCCCCGGGGCUCAGGGGCUCGGGUGGGGCAGCUCCUCAUGGCGUGGGGUAGGGAGGGUGACCCCAGGUUCUUAGUCAGGGCAGGUGCAGGCCUGUGAGACACCAGGCGAAGGAGGCAGAGCAGGCCGUCCUGUGUGGAGUGGCUUAUUCUAAUUCAAACUCCCCUGUUUUCUUCCUCUUCCUUUUGGGGGAACUCAUCCCUCUGAGACCUCAGACAGACAUGCACCAGGCUAUGGGUGGGGGUAAUGCAGGGCAGGCAGGGUGGUGCAGGAGAAGCAUUCUGCUCUUUUCUGCAGUAAGGUAAAUAUCGUGGCCGUCAUCUGUUCCACCUCCUUCCUGCUGUCUGGCUUCGUUAGUGCAGAUCAAGAGCAUAGGUCAGUGCCCUGGAGGGUGUUCAGGAUGACCGUAGCAGAGGUCUCCGUGCCACAAAUGGAACCCAGCCUUGCUAACUUCUCCAGGCUCGGUGCCCAGCACCCCCAGGGCACACAGAAACCACUGUGGUGUGAGUGGUGCUGGAGCAGCAGACACAGGCGCGUUGUUGUCGGGAGGUGGGGGAGCCCCCGCCGGCUUGCGUGUUUUCUUCCUUAGCAACUGCCCCUCAGAAGCAAUACAGGACUUACCCUAAUGUCACCUCUGCUGAGUCCACGCCGGGGAAUGGCUGAGAAACAACUUCAUGCCAGAAUCCUGUCAAUCUAAGUCUCUACAAAAUUCUAGGAACCAAGAAAUUAUAAACUGAAAGCUCUUAAUGAGAAGCUCUCUGUGGGCAAUGAUCUGGGCUCUGCAGGGGGCUCCAGCAGCUGCCAGAGGGAAAUAAACGUGGAAAAGAACAACCUGAGGCUGCUCGGCUGAAGGCCGGAGCAUGGGGACUGCCCUAACCCUCACUCACGGUGCAGGGAGCUUCCCAGGAAGUCUCAGCUCACCUGCAGCCUUCGAACCAGGAGAGGCUCCGUGAAAGAGCAGCCAGGAUGCUCGAGGUCUGGCCUCAACCCUGUCAUCAUUGUCAAUCCCUGCGGCUCCUCCUUCCAGGGAGGCUGGGCAGAAGAGCAACAGGAGCAGGUGCUCAGGGGCAACACAGAAGACAGGAGCAGGUGCUCAGGGACAACAAGUACUCAGGGGACAGAAGGUGCCAGGAGGUAGUAGGUGUUCAGGGGGCAGCAGGUGCUCAGGGAGCAGCAGGUGCUCAAAGGCAGUACAGCAGACAGGAGCAGGUCAUUUCUAAAUAAGUUUAAAAACUGAAACAUGAAUUACUAAGCAUGAGUUUAAAGUUUAUAUCCUUUGACAUCGUGUUUUUACAUAGUAUAGAGAAGCUAAAUGUAUUUGGUUCUAUUAAUAAACAUGAAAAUUGUCCGGGUGCAGUGGCUCACACCUGUAAUCCCAGCACUUUGAGAGGUUGAGGAGGGCAGAUAGCUUGAGCCCAGGAGUUUGAGACCAUCCCAGGCAAUGUAGUGAAACUUUGUCUCUACAAAAAAAUACAAAAAUUAGCCAGGCGUGGUGGCUCCAGUUUUGACUGCAAGGAUGGACCCCUGAAAACGCCCAAGGCUUCAGAGGAUGACCGCUAGAGCCAGCAGUUUCUCUUUCCAUAAUCAAUCAUGUUAUUUGAUAGUUAUGAGAGUUGAUUCAAGAUUGAGAGAUGGAAUAGGCUGUUAUUACUCAGGCUCAUUUCCUAAAGUAAAUCAUAAUUUAUAGAUGUGGGACACAUAGGCUUUGAGAUUCCGAUACAAUUAGUGCAAACAUUUAGAAGAUAAAUUGGCCUCCAUUCCAAGGUAACCAAAUGGAUCCCUUUUUUAAGAAUUGAGAAUACUAUAAAACAAAGAUGCAAAAAUACCCAAAAUUGAUCAAUAAGGAUCACGCAGAGAUUUAUUUUUUGAAGACAAUACUAACAUUUCAAAUGUAGGAAAUACUAUUUUAUGCUUUAAACAGGGACAUUUAGUCUCGAGUUCUAGUUUUAAUGCCCUAACCUGGUUUAUCCAUAAAGUGGAGAGAGGCUAGUGCAUAAAUUCAUGUGGUACAGCCAAUCUUAUUCAUUUUUUCUCAAGGGACAGUUAUAACCAGAAUGAACAAAGCCUGGAAUUCAUUAACAGAGCUUACAGGGAAGGUGAGUGGUUUCGAAGCAUUUUUACUAAUCCUUUGAUAAGUCACCCUGAUGUGAGAGGUGGAUUUAGCGACUUGCUUAUGCCAAGUAGCAUAUGGCAAAAGUAAUGAUAUUUCACUACUGCACGUAUCUGCAAAGGGAGCACUCACUCUGGGGCAAGCCAGGCCUGUGUCAUGAAGACACUCGAGCAGCCCUGUGGAGAGGCCCAGGCGUAAGAAACAGACGCCUCUUACCAACAGUCAGUGAGGAACUGAGGUCUCCUGCCAUGAGCCAUGUGAGUGCGCGAUCUUGGAGGUGGGUUCUCUAGCCCCUGUCAGGCAGUCAGAUGAUGCAGCCCCAGUCACAUGCAAUCAAGUCUAGGUUCUUGAUAUUCUAGUUACUUAAAGAUUGUCAAGCAAGAAGUCAUUUCUUCCCCGGCUAUGCUAUUCAAAGGUUCAUGAAUCUUUUGGAUUUUGUAUAUUUUAGAAAUUCCAGAAUUUAUCAGUAGGAACCAGAAAUAGAAUAUCCAGCAGGAACGGCAUGAUGUAUAAAAAAAUAUAGUCCUUUUUGUACAUUCCCCUCUUCCAUUAUUCUAACUGUAUCUACCUUCAAAUCACACCUAAGAUUUCAGGGAUAGACCCUUUACCUCGAAGAUAAUGAAACCCAUCAGAUUAUAAUUUUUUUUUUGUUAUGGACAAUUCCCUUCCCUAAUAUUUCUCAAACUGAAGGUUGUAAUCUACUUCAAAGAGUCGUCCAAGGAAGGCAUGGUGAUCGACGAGUUUCAAAUAACUAUCAAAUACAUUUAUUUAUCCUAAAAACGUUGACAGUAAUGAUAGAAAUACUCAUUUUUAAAAUUCUUGAAUUCUGAUACAUAGUUCUAUUUUAAAGUCCUGAAAUACCAGUAUUUUUUUAUUGGUAUACUACAAUUAUACCACUAUUUUUGGAAACUAAGGUCUGAAUUAUUAACUUCUUUUUUUUGAGAUGAGGUGUCAUCUGUUGUUGUUCAGGCUGGAGUGCAGUGGUGCAAUCACGGCUCCCUGCAGCCUCAGAUCCCUGGGCUCAAAGAAAUCCUGUGAGCAUGGCACUGUACCCAGCUGAUUUUUUAAUGGUUUGUAGAGACAGGGCUUUGCUUUGUUGCCCAGGCUGGUCUCAAGCUCCUAACAUCAAGCAAUCCUCCUACCUUGGCCUCCCAAACUGCUAGGAUUACAGGUGUGAGUCACCAUGCCCAGCCUUUAUUUAUCUCUUAAAAUGAAAGUCAUUGACUAAACUAUUCAAUUUUGUGCCAAAAAAAAGAUGAACUAAUGUGCAGUCUUCAAAACUGAUAGGAUUAUUCUGGAAAAUUUUGUACAUACACACACAAAAAAAGAAGCAUUGAUGACUUUUGUUAAAAACACCAAAUAAUAUGUCAUUUUAAAUGUUUAUGAACGAUUAAUUUCUUAUUUCAAUAUAAUGCUUAGUUGAUUAUUUGUAAUAAAAGUUUAUUUUUGUUUAUGUGCUAAUCCAUUAGGAUGUGAUAUAGUUUGGAUAUUUGUCCCUACCCACAUCUCAUGCUGAGUUGUAAUCCCCAAUGCCAGAGGUGGGGCCUGGUGGGAGAUGUUUGGGUUCUGGGGGUGGGUCCCUCAUGGCUUGAUGCUGUCUUCUUGAGAGUGAGUUCUCAUGAGAUCUGGUUAUUUAAAAGUGGGUGGCACCUCCCUGCCCACUGUCUCUCACUUGUUCCUGCUCCUGCUCCUGCCAUGUGAUGUGCCUGCUCCCCCUUUGCCUUCCGCCAUGAUUGAAGCUUCCUGAGGCCUCCCAGAAGUAGAAGCCGCCAUGCUUCCUGUAUAGCCUGUAGAACCACAAGCCAAUUAAACUUUUUUUAAAUGAAUUACCCAGUCUCAGCUAUUUCUUUAUAGUAAUGCAAGAAUGGCAUAAUACAGGAUGAUAAUAUGUUGAAGGUUUAUAGAUUCAAAAAAUGUAUUUUAGUUAAUUUGAAAAAUAAUGUAAGAAACACAUGAUAAAUAUUCAAUUACGUUUGUGAAAUACACUAAAUCCCUACCUGCUUAUUUCCUAGCUGGGCUGCUAUAACACAGUGCCACUCACUGGGUGGCUUUUACUGCUCACAGUUCUGGAGACGUGGACAUUUACAAUGAAGACUGAUUAGGGCCAGUUUCCUGAUUCACAGAUGGGGCCUCUCGCUGUGUCCUCACAUGGCAGAGGGACAAACAGGCUCCCUCUCUCUCUUUUAUAUGGGCACUGAUCCCAUACAUGAGAGGUCCACUCUCAGGACCAAAUCACCCCCUUGAGACCCCACCUCUCAACACUAUCACCAUAAGGAUUAGCCUUCAGCAUCUGAAUGUGUGGGGAGGAAGCACAAACAUUUAGAUCACAGCGCCCUGUCCCUGGUUUCCCAAAGUUCACAUCUUCCUCACGUGACAAGUACAUUCAUUCCAUCCCAACAGCCCUACAAGUCUUAACUCGUUCCAGCAUCAACUCAAAAGUGUGAAGUCCAGAGUCUCAUUUAAACAUCGUCUAAAUCAAAUACGUGUGUGAUUUAAGGUAAAAUUCAUUGUGAGACAAACUGCUUUCCAGCUGUGAGCCUGUAAAAUCAAACAUGUUAUGUGUUUCCAAAUUCAAUGGUAGGUGUUAUGGUUUGGACUUGUGUCCCCACCCAAAUCUCAUUCAAUUAUAAUCCCCGGUGUUGGAGGUGAGGCCUGGUGGGAAGUGAUUGGAUCAUGGGCCGGAGUUCUUAAGAAUGGUUUGGUACCAUCUCCCUUGGUACUGCAUAGUGCGUGAGUUCUCAUAAAAUCCAGUUGUUUAAAAGUGUAUAGCACUUGUCCUUCUCUCUCCCUCCUGCUCCAGCCAUGUAAGAUGCCUGCUUCCCCUUUGCUUUUCACCAUGAUUGUAAGUUUCCUGAGGCCUCCCCAGAAGCUGAGCAGAUGCCAGCAUCAUGCUUCCUAUACAACCAAUGGAACUAUGAG
rnacentral:lncRNA from 10 species